CAUAAGGGGAUUGUCUGAUGAAUU
rnacentral:piRNA from 1 species